UCUUUUAAUGGAUUGUUUGUUCCGCUGCAGUUAAACUUGAUGUCUAUUGUAUUUUAUCAGUUUAACAUUGUUGAGGACUGAUGAUAAUUUAUUCUGCAUUAUCUUAGUCAUAAUAUUUCUUACUGGGAUAGUUGAGUUCACCCUUUCUUCACUGUUCUCUUCAGGAAAUGAGAAUAUAGCUGGGACGAGUCGGGGAACAGAUUG
rnacentral:lncRNA from 1 species